rnacentral:rRNA from 1 species
GGUUAUACAGGCAAAUCCGUAUAACAAUACUCCGAGAACUGAAAGGCUUUUUGAAGUCUUCGGAUGGAUAGAAGAACCCCUGAUGCCGUCGAGCCAAGAAAAGUUUCUAAGUUUAGCUAAUGUUGCCCGUACCGUAAACCGACACAGGUGGGUGGGAUGAGUAUUCUAAGGCGCGUGGAAGAACUCUCUUUAAGGAACUCUGCAAAAUAGCACCGUAUCUUCGGUAUAAGGUGUGGUUAGCUUCGUACUAGGAUUUACUCCGAAAGCGAAGAAACUUACAACAAAGAGUCCCUCCCGACUGUUUACCAAAAACACAGCACUCUGCUAACUCGUAAGAGGAUGUAUAGGGUGUGACGCCUGCCCGGUGCUCGAAGGUUAAUUGAUGGGGUUAGCAUUAGCGAAGCUCUUGAUCGAAGCCCGAGUAAACGGCGGCCGUAACUAUAACGGUCCUAAGGUAGCGAAAUUCCUUGUCGGUUAAAUACCGACCUGCAUGAAUGGCGUAACGAGAUGGGAGCUGUCUCAAAGAGGGAUCCAGUGAAAUUGUAGUGGAGGUGAAAAUUCCUCCUACCCGCGGCAAGACGGAGAGACCCCGUGGACCUUUACUACAGCUUGACACUGCUAUUUGGAUAAGAAUGUGCAGGAUAGGUGGGAGGCUUUGAGUAUAUGACGCCAGUUGUAUAUGAGCCAUUGUUGAGAUACCACUCUUUCUUAUUUGGGUAGCUAACCAGCUUGAGUUAUCCUCAAGUGGGACAAUGUCUGGUGGGUAGUUUGACUGGGGCGGUCGCCUCCCAAAUAAUAACGGAGGCUUACAAAGGUUGGCUCAGAACGGUUGGAAAUCGUUCGUAGAGUAU